rnacentral:rRNA from 1 species
UACGUAGGGAGCAAGCGUUGUCCGGAAUCAUUGGGCGUAAAGCGCGCGUAGGUGGCCCGGUAAGUCCGCUCUGAAAGUCACAGGCUCAACCUGUGAAAGCGGGUGGAUACUGCCGGGCUAGAGUCCGGAAGAGGCGAGUGGAAUUCCUGGUGUAGCGGUGGAAUGCGCAGAUAUCAGGAGGAACACCAACGGCGAAGGCGGGUCUCUGGACAGUUCCUGACGCUGAGGCACGAAGGCCAGGGGAGCAAACGGG